UGGGGAAUAUUGCACAAUGGGCGCAAGCCUGAUGCAGCCAUGCCGCGUGUGUGAAGAAGGCCUUCGGGUUGAAUAGCACUUUCAGCGAGGAGGAAGGUGGUGAGCUUAAUACGCUCAUCAAUUGACGUUACUCGCAGAAGAAGCACCGGCUAACUCCGUGCCAGCAGCCGCGGUAAUACGGAGGGUGCAAGCGUUAAUCGGAAUUACUGGGCGUAAAGCGCACGCAGGCGGUUUGUUAAGUCAGAUGUGAAAUCCCCGGGCUCAACCUGGGAACUGCAUUUGAAACUGGCAAGCUAGAGUCUCGUAGAGGGGGGUAGAAUUCCAGGUGUAGCGGUGAAAUGCGUAGAGAUCUGGAGGAAUACCGGUGGCGAAGGCGGCCCCCUGGACGAAGACUGACGCUCAGGUGCGAAAGCGUGGGGCAGCAAACAGGAUUAGAUACCCUGGUAGUCCACGCUGUAAACGAUGUCGAUUUUGGAGGUUGUGCCCCUUGAGGCGUGGCUUCCGGAGCUAACGCGUU
rnacentral:rRNA from 1 species